GACGAACGCUGGCGGCGUGCUUAACACAUGCAAGUCGAACGGAAAGGCCCUGCUUUUGUGGGGUGCUCGAGUGGCGAACGGGUGAGUAACACGUGAGUAACCUGCCCUUGACUUUGGGAUAACUUCAGGAAACUGGGGCUAAUACCGGAUAGGAGCUCCUGCUGCAUGGUGGGGGUUGGAAAGUUUCGGCGGUGGGGGAUGGACUCGCGGCUUAUCAGCUUGUGGGUGGGGUAGUGGCUUACCAGGGCUUUGACGGGUAGCCGGCCUGAGAGGGUGACCGGCCACAUUGGGACUGAGAUACGCCCCAGACUCCUACGGGAGGCAGCAGUGGGGAAUAUUGCACAAUGGGCGGAAGCCUGAUGCAGCAACGCCGCGGGCGGGAUGACGGCCUUCGGGUUGUAAACCGCUUUCGCCUGUGACGAAGCGUGAGUGACGGUAAUGGGUAAAGAAGCACCGGCUAACUACGUG
rnacentral:rRNA from 1 species